UACGGGGGGGGGCAAGCGUUGUUCGGAAUUACUGGGCGUAAAGGGCUCGUAGGCGGCCAACUAAGUCCGACGUGAAAUCCCAAGGCUUAACCUUGGAACUGCGUCGGAUACUGGAUGGCUUGAAUUCGGGAGAGGGAUGCAGAAUUCCAGGUGUAGCGGUGAAAUGCGUAGAUAUCUGGAGGAAUACCGGUGGCGAAGGCGGCAUCCUGGACCGACAUUGACGCUGAGGAGCGAAAGCUAGGGGGAGCAAACGGGG
rnacentral:rRNA from 1 species